rnacentral:rRNA from 1 species
UACAGAGGUCUCAACCGUUGUUCGGAUUCAUUGGGCGUAAAGGGUGCGUAGGCGGCGGGGUAAGUCAGGUGUGAAAUCUCGGGGCUCAACCCCGAAACUGCACUUGAUACUGCCUCGCUUGAGUACUGGAGAGGAGACUGGAAUUUACGGUGUAGCAGUGAAAUGCGUAGAUAUCGUAAGGAACACCGGUGGCGAAGGCGGCCUUCUGGACACUAACUGACGCUGAGACGCGAAAGCGUGGGGAGCAAACAGG